UGGGGAAUUUUGGACAAUGGGCGAAAGCCUGAUCCAGCAAUGCCGCGUGUGUGAAGAAGGCCUUCGGGUUGUAAAGCACUUUUGUCCGGAAAGAAAUCCUUGGCUCUAAUACAGUCGGGGGAUGACGGUACCGGAAGAAUAAGCACCGGCUAACUACGUGCCAGCAGCCGCGGUAAUACGUAGGGUGCAAGCGUUAAUCGGAAUUACUGGGCGUAAAGCGUGCGCAGGCGGUUUGCUAAAGACCGAUGUGAAAUCCCCGGGCUCAACCUGGGAACUGCAUUGGUGACUGGCAGGCUAGAGUAUGGCAGAGGGGGGUAGAAUUCCACGUGUAGCAGUGAAAUGCGUAGAGAUGUGGAGGAAUACCGAUGGCGAAGGCAGCCCCCUGGGCCAAGUACUGACGCUCAUGCACGAAAAGCGUGGGGAGCAAAACAGGAUUAGAUACCCCUGGUAGUCCACGCCCUAAAACGAUGUCAACUAGUUGUU
rnacentral:rRNA from 1 species